AUUGAACGCUGGCGGCAGGCCUAACACAUGCAAGUCGGACGGUAGCACAGAGGAGCUUGCUCCUUGGGUGACGAGUGGCGGACGGGUGAGUAAUGUCUGGGGAUCUGCCCGAUAGAGGGGGAUAACCACUGGAAACGGUGGCUAAUACCGCAUAACGUCGCAAGCCCAAAGAGGGGGACCUUCGGGCCUCUCACUAUCGGAUGAACCCAAAUGGGAUUAGCUAGUAGGCGGGGUAAUGGCCCACCUAGGCGACGAUGCCUAGCCGGUCUGAGAGGAUGACCAGCCACACUGGAACUGAGACACGGUCCAGACUCCUACGGGAGGCAGCAGUGGGGAAUAUUGCACAAUGGGCGCAAGCCUGAUGCAGCCAUGCCGCGUGUAUGAAGAAGGCCUUCGGGUUGUAAAGUACUUUCAGCGGGGAGGAAGGCGGUGCGGUUAAUAACCGCGCCGAUUGACGUUACCCGCAGAAGAAGCACCGGCUAACUCCGUGCCAGCCGCCGCAGUAA
rnacentral:rRNA from 1 species